CAAUAGCGUAUAUUAAAGUUGUUGCAGUUAAAAAGCUCGUAGUUGGAUUUCUGGUGAGAUGGAUUAUGUCUAGGUCGAAAGAUCUUGUUCAUGGUUCGUUUUGCCCUUCUUGUCAGGAACCCGCUGAGAUUCGCGUCUUGUCGGUGGAAUGGCAUCGUUUACUGUGAAAAAAUUAGAGUGUUCAAAGCAGGCAUCGCCGUUGAAUACAUUAGCAUGGAAUAAUAAGAUAAGACUUUGGUGGUCUAUUUUGUUGGUUUGCACGCCAAAGUAAUGAUUAAUAGGGAUAGUUGGGGUAUUCGUAUUCUAUUGCUAGAGGUGAAAUUCUUAAAUUUAUGGAAGACGAACUACUGCGAAAGCAUUUACCAAGGAUGUUUUCAUUAA
rnacentral:rRNA from 1 species